AUAGCGUAUAUUAAAGUUGUUGCAGUUAAAAAGCUCGUAGUUGAAUUUCUGGCCAGCUCUAUUCUCGGCUCUCUGAGUCGGUGUAGAGUUUGGUCAUCCGUAUGGGAAGCUAGCUCGGCCUUCACUGGUCGGCUAGUGGAUCAUACACUUUACUUUGAAAAAAUUAGAGUGUUUCAGGCAGGCAAUUGCUUGGAUACUGCAGCAUGGAAUAAUGGAAUAGGACUUUGACCUAUUUGUUGGUUUCUCGAGGUCAAAGUAAUGAUUAAUAGGGAUAGUUGGGGGCAUUCGUAUUUAAUUGUCAGAGGUGAAAUUCUUGGAUUUAUUAAAGACGAACUUAUG
rnacentral:rRNA from 1 species